rnacentral:other from 1 species
AGCGGGCUGCGGGGUGCGUGAUACGGCUUUAUCCCGGAGGUCGAUAAUCUUUCGUUAGGGAGCUGUCCCUGUGCAGGAUUGACCGGUUCGCCGGGGGAUCCCGCAUAUAUGGCGCCCACCUGUUGAAACAGGACCACGGCGGAUACCAUACGUACACGGCCUUCGCGGCACCUUU